GUGAUCCGAAAUAGUAAAAUGGUUUUCGGAUGAUAACUCAAGAACGCAUACGCUUAGGAUCAUGAAACUUCAUGGGUAGAUUGAUCAUGACUCGCAGAUGACCCCUAUUGAUUUUGAGGUCACUAGGUCAAAGGUCAAGGUCACGGUGACCCGAAAUAGUAAAAUGGUUUCCGGAUGAUAACUCAAGAACGCAUACGCCUAGGAUCAUGAAACUUCAUGGGUAGAUUGAUCAUGACUCGCAGAUGACCCCUAUUAAUUUUGAGGUCACUAGGUCAAAGGUCAAGGUCACGGUGACCCGAAAUAGUAAAAUGGUUUCCGGAUGAUAACUCAAGAACGCAUACGCCUAGGAUCAUGAAACUUCAUAGGUAGAUUGAUCAUGACUUGCAGAUGACCCCUAUUGUUUUUGAGGUCACUAGGUCAAAGGUCAAGGUCACGGUGAC